CCUACGGGUGGCAGCAGUAGGGAAUAUUGCUCAAUGGGGGAAACCCUGAAGCAGCAACGCCGCGUGGAGGAUGAAGGCUUUCGGAUUUUAAACUCUUUUUGUUAGAGAAGAUAAUGACGGUAUCUAACAAAUAAGCACCGGCUAACUCCGUGCCAGCAGCCGCGGUAAUACGGAGGGUGCAAGCGUUACCCGGAAUCAUUGGGCGUAAAGAGUGCGUAGGCGGGAUAGCAAGUCAGAUGUGAAAUCCUAGGGCUUAACCCUAGAACUGCAUUUGAAACUGUUAUUCUAGAGUAUGGGAGAGGUAGAUGGAAUUCUUGGUGUAGGGGUGAAAUCCGUAGAGAUCAAGAGGAAUA
rnacentral:rRNA from 1 species